rnacentral:lncRNA from 1 species
GCAGGAUCUACUUUCCCUUCCGGAGCACCUGAGAUCAUCCCUAGUUUUUCGUCGGGUUCUUGUAGUUUAUUCUUCAUUUUAAUAUGUUGUGUCAUGAUGUGCACUAUUGUUUGUCUGUUUGUCUUUUUCAUUUUUAGCUAUGGCGUUGUCAGUUUAUUUUCGAUUUAUGAGUUUGACUGUCCCUUUGGUAUCUUUCGUCCCUCUUUUAUGUUGUUUUACCUGAAUAGUUUGUUUUAUAUGGGAAAUAUUUUUUGAGACAUUUCUUUAGUCUUUUUCACGUCGCUGAUAAAUCAAUCUCAACAGUUGAAUAUAGGUGUAGACAUGUUGAAUACUACAAGUAGAAAUAUUAUCACAGAAUACUCAAAACUAUAUUUUAAUACCAAUUGUUCUCAAACAGAUGUACAUCUGUCCAAAUUUCUCCGAUAAUACAGACCAAUAUUGAAU